rnacentral:tRNA from 1 species
GCCCCGAUGAUGAAAUCGGUAGACAUAUGAGACUUAAAAUCUCAGGCCUUAGGGCGUGCCGGUUCGAUUCCGGCUCGGGGCACCA